GACGAACGCUGGCGGCGUGCCUAAUACAUGCAAGUAGAACGCUGAAGGAGGAGCUUGCUUCUCUGGAUGAGUUGCGAACGGGUGAGUAACGCGUAGGUAACCUGCCUGGUAGCGGGGGAUAACUAUUGGAAACGAUAGCUAAUACCGCAUAAUAGCAGUUAUUGCAUGAUAACUGUUUGAAAGGUGCAAUUGCACCACUACCAGAUGGACCUGCGUUGUAUUAGCUAGUUGGUGGGGUAACGGCUCACCAAGGCGACGAUACAUAGCCGACCUGAGAGGGUGAUCGGCCACACUGGGACUGAGACACGGCCCAGACUCCUACGGGAGGCAGCAGUAGGGAAUCUUCGGCAAUGGACGGGAGUCUGACCGAGCAACGCCGCGUGAGUGAAGAAGGUUUUCGGAUCGUAAAGCUCUGUUGUAAGAGAAGAACGAGUGUGAGAGUGGAAAGUUCACACUGUGACGGUAUCUUACCAGAAAGGGACGGCUAGCUACGUG
rnacentral:rRNA from 1 species